UCGGGAAUUUUGGGCAAUGGGCGAAAGCCUGACCCAGCAACGCCGCGUGAGUGACGAAGGCCUUAGGGUUGUAAAACUCUUUCGUCGGGGACGAUAAUGACGGUACCCGAAGAAGAAGCUCCGGCUAACUUCGUGCCAGCAGCCGCGGUAAUACGAAGGGAGCUAGCGUUGUUCGGAAUCACUGGGCGUAAAGCGCACGUAGGCGGAUAGUUAAGUCAGGGGUGAAAUCCUGGGGCUCAACCCCAGAACUGCCUUUGAUACUGGCUGUCUCGAGGUCGAGAGAGGUUGGUGGAAUUCCUAGUGUAGAGGUGAAAUUCGUAGAUAUUGGGAAGAACACCAGUGGCGAAGGCGGCUAACUGGUCCGGUACUGACGCUGAGGUGCGAAAGCGUGGGGAGCAAACAGGAUUAGAUACCCAGGUAGUCCCUGAGCGGGCUGGCAAGGCGCAU
rnacentral:rRNA from 1 species